rnacentral:rRNA from 1 species
UACAGAGGUCUCAAGCGUUGUUCGGAUUCAUUGGGCGUAAAGGGUGCGUAGGUGGCGUCGUAAGUCGGGUGUGAAAUCUCGGGGCUUAACUCCGAAACUGCAUUCGAUACUGCGGUGCUUGAGGACUGGAGAGGAGACUGGAAUUCAUGGUGUAGCAGUGAAAUGCGUAGAUAUCAGGAGGAACACCGGUGGCGAAGGCGGGUCUCUGGGCCGAAAUUGACGCUGAGGAGCGAAAGCGUGGGGAGCAAACAGG